rnacentral:tRNA from 2 species
GCGGAAAUAGCUCAGUUGGUAGAGCACGACCUUGCCAAGGUCGGGGUCGCGAGUUCGAGUCUCGUUUUCCGCUCGA